rnacentral:lncRNA from 1 species
GUGCUUUUUGUGAAUCAUUUCAAUGUAAUGUUGAUUUUAUGUUAACACCGAAAUAACAGAUUGUUAAUUGUUGAU